rnacentral:rRNA from 1 species
UCAAGUGAAUAAGUGCACACGGUGGAUGCCUUGGCGACAACAGGCGAAGAAGGACGUGGAAAUCUGCGAAAAGCCCCGGGAAGCUGAUAACAAGCAAUGAUCCGGGGAUCUCCGAAUGGGGCAACCCGACCUUAGGGUCAUCCGUAGUUGAAUACAUAGACUGCGGAAGCGAACCGGGAGAACUGAAACAUCUAAGUACCCCGAGGAAAAGAAAUCAACCGAGAUUCCGCAAGUAGCGGCGAGCGAACGCGGAGAAGCCCAAUUAAGUUGCGUAUGAGCUAGUAGAACAUCCUGGGAAGGAUGGCCACAGAGGGUGAUAGCCCCGUAUACGAAAGCCAUACACAAUGAAUCGAGUAGGGCGGGACACGUGAAAUCCUGUCUGAAGAUGGGGGGACCAUCCUCCAAGGCUAAAUACUCGUUGUCGACCGAUAGUGAACCAGUACCGUGAGGGAAAGGCGAAAAGAACCCUGGUGAAGGGAGUGAAAUAGAACCUGAAACCGUGUGCAUACAAGCAGUCAGAGCAUAUGAAGAUAUGUGAUGGCGUACCUUUUGUAUAAUGGGUCAGCGAGUUACAUUCAGUGGCGAGGUUAACCGAAUAGGGGAGCCGUAGCGAAAGCGAGUCUUAAUAGGGCGAUAAGUCUCUGGGUGUAGACCCGAAACCGGGCGAUCUAUCCAUGGGCAGGUUGAAGGUUGAGUAACAUCAACUGGAGGACCGAACCCACGCAUGUUGAAAAAUGCGGGGAUGACCUGUGGAUAGGAGUGAAAGGCUAAACAAGCUCGGAGAUAGCUGGUUCUCCCCGAAAACUAUUGAGGUAGUGCCUUGUAGAUUGACUUACGGGGGUAGAGCACUGUUUCGGCUAGGGGGUCAUACCGACUUACCAACCCGAUGCAAACUCCGAAUACCGUAAAGUUUUACUACAGGAGACACACGGCGGGUGCUAACGUCCGUCGUGAAGAGGGAAACAACCCAGACCGCCAGCUAAGGUCCCGAAAUGACAGUUCAGUGGGAAACGAAGUGGGAAGGCUUAGACAGCUAGGAGGUUGGCUUAGAAGCAGCCAUCCUUUAAAGAAAGCGUAAUAGCUCACUAGUCGAGUCGUCCUGCGCGGAAGAUUUACCGGGGCUAAACUGUCUACCGAAGCUGCGGAUUUGCAUGAAGAUGCAAGUGGUAGGGGAGCGUUGUGUAAGCCGAAGAAGGUGUGUUGAGAAGCAUGCUGGAGGUAUCACAAGUGCGAAUGCUGACAUGAGUAACGAUAAUGCGGGUGAAAAACCCGCACACCGAAAACCCAAGGUUUCCUGCGCAACGCUAAUCGGCGCAGGGUGAGUCGGCCCCUAAGGCGAGGCGGAAACGCGUAGUCGAUGGGAAACAGGUUAAUAUUCCUGUACUGAUCAUAAUUGCGAUGGGGGGACGGAGAAAGCUAGGCCAGCACACUGUUGGAUGUGUGUUUAAGCGCGUAGGUUGGGGACUUAGGCAAAUCCGGGUUCCUAAGACUGAAACGUGAUGACGAGUUUCUACGGAAACGAAGUGGUUGAUGCUCUGCUUCCAGGAAAAGCCUCUAAGCUUCAGAUUAUGACAACCGUACCCCAAACCGACACAGGUGGGUAGGAAGAGAAUUCCAAGGUGCUUGAGAGAACUCGGGUAAAGGAACUCGGCAAAAUGAUACCGUAACUUCGGGAUAAGGUAUGCCUCUGAUGGUGAAUAGCUGUUGGAGGCCGCAGAGAAUAGGCCGCUGCGACUGUUUAUCAAAAACACAGCACUCUGCAAACACGCAAGUGGACGUAUAGGGUGUGACGCCUGCCCGGUGCCGGAAGGUUAAUUGAUGGGGUGCAAGCUCUUGAUCGAAGCCCCGGUAAACGGCGGCCGUAACUAUAACGGUCCUAAGGUAGCGAAAUUCCUUGUCGGGU